rnacentral:rRNA from 1 species
GACGAACGCUGGCGGCGUGGAUUAGGCAUGCAAGUCGAACGGUAUCAUCCUUUCGGGGGUGAGAGAGUGGCGAACUGGUGAGUAACACGUAGGUUAUCUACCCUCAAGACGGGGACAACCCAGGGAAACUUGGGCUAAUACCGGAUGUGAGCAACUUUUAGUUGUUUGAAAGGUGGCGUAAGCUGUCGCUUGGGGAUGAGCCUGCGUCCUAUUAGUUAGUUGGUGAGGUAACGGCUCACCUAGGCAAUGAUAGGUAGGCGGCCUUAACGGGUGGUCGCCCACACUGGGAUUGAGAUACGGCCCAGACUCCUACGGGAGGCAGCAGUCGAGAAUAGUCUACAAUGGUCGGAAGACUGAUAGUGCGACGCCGCGUGAACGAUGAAUCCCUUCGGGGUGUAAAGUUCUUUUAUAUGUGAGCAGUGCUUCUUAUAUUAACAGUAUGGGGAGAGAGAUAUUAGCAUAUGAAUAAGCAACGGCUAACUCCGUGCCAGCAGCCGCGGUAAACUGUA